rnacentral:rRNA from 1 species
ACGGGAGGCAGCAGUGGGGAAUUUUGGACAAUGGGCGAAAGCCUGAUCCAGCAAUGCCGCGUGUGUGAAGAAGGCCUUCGGGUUGUAAAGCACUUUUGUCCGGAAAGAAAUCCUUGGCUCUAAUACAGUCGGGGGAUGACGGUACCGGAAGAAUAAGCACCGGCUAACUACGUGCCAGCAGCCGCGGUAAUACGUAGGGUGCGAGCGUUAAUCGGAAUUACUGGGCGUAAAGCGUGCGCAGGCGGUUUGCUAAGACCGAUGUGAAAUCCCCGGGCUCAACCUGGGAACUGCAUUGGUGACUGGCAGGCUAGAGUAUGGCAGAGGGGGGUAGAAUUCCACGUGUAGCAGUGAAAUGCGUAGAGAUGUGGAGGAAUACCGAUGGCGAAGGCAGCCCCCUGGGCCAAUACUGACGCUCAUGCGCGAAAGCGUGGGGAGCAAACAGGAUUAGAUACCCUGGUAGUCCACGCCCUAAACGAUGUCAACUAGUUGUUGGGGAUUCAUUUCCUUAGUAACGUAGCUAACGCGUGAAGUUGACCGCCUGGGGAGUACGGUCGCAA